rnacentral:rRNA from 1 species
AGUGAACGCUGGCGGUAGGCCUAACACAUGCAAGUCGAACGGCAGCACAGUAAGAGCUUGCUCUUACGGGUGGCGAGUGGCGGACGGGUGAGGAAUACAUCGGAAUCUACUUUUUCGUGGGGGAUAACGUAGGGAAACUUACGCUAAUACCGCAUACGACCUACGGGUGAAAGCAGGGGAUCUUCGGACCUUGCGCGAUUGAAUGAGCCGAUGUCGGAUUAGCUAGUUGGCGGGGUAAAGGCCCACCAAGGCGACGAUCCGUAGCUGGUCUGAGAGGAUGAUCAGCCACACUGGAACUGAGACACGGUCCAGACUCCUACGGGAGGCAGCAGUGGGGAAUAUUGGACAAUGGGCGCAAGCCUGAUCCGGCCAUACCGCGUGGGUGAAGAAAGCCUUCGGGUUGUAAAGCCCUUUUGUUGGGAAAGAAAAGCAGCAGGUUAAUACCCCGCUGUUCUGACGGUACCCAAAGAAUAAGCACCGGCUAACUUCGUG